UUGCCUACUUCUGCAGAGGAAGCCUCCACAGAGAGCAGUUCUGCAAACUGCUUUUGGUAUCAUUAUCAUGGUGUUUAAAGGCAGCCCUGGCCUGCCAGCACUGUAGACGUGCUGGGCAUGCCUUUUGCAAAAACAGCCCCACAAAGACUGCAGCCAAUGGCAAGGCAGAGCUUAGAGACUCCAAAGUGAUCUUCGCAGCCUAGCACUAUCCCAGACAAAGGAUCUCCUGUGAGGCUGGGCUCUCACCACAGGACACAGGCAGCCACAAGCUGCGACAUGGAGUUCUCUGCAGAGGAUCUGGUCGCCGUCACCGAAAUCACAGGAGGCUUCAGCAAGAGACAAUGUUCGCAAAUCCCCCAGGUCGCCACCAUCGGAUCGGAUCGAUGGCGGAGUCUCCCUGAGCAGGAACCUCUUGGGUGGCACCAGGGAUGGUUGGCGCAGGGAGGGGCGCGCUGCUCUUUACCACCCGGCAGGAGAUAGCCCUGAGCCUAAGGGGGCAUCGGAGCUCACAGCAACCCUGGAAGAUUUCCCAAUUUACAUCACAUCGGAAGUGACCUGCCAUCGACAAAUUUUAACUAAUUCACAGAUGGGCAGAAAAAAAAAGGAAGCUAAACAUGGUGACAACACUUUUGACUAACUACUACUUCAGCCUGAAUGAGACCCUGACUUCAAAUAAUCAUACAACAACAAGAACAUAUCCAUGCCUGCAUUGGAAGCAUCCAGGGGAAACUCUGACAGCACUAAUGAGUUCAAGGUCAACCUGGGACACAUAGCAAAUAUCAGGCCAGCCAUAUUUGUAUAUAGCAAGAUUCUAUCUGAAAGGAAGGAAAGAAGGAAAGAAGGGGAAAACAAAGAAGAGAAAGGUGCACACCACACCCUACCCACGGUGUUCAGUUUUUUUGUUAAACUAAAACCAAACGAUUCUGACCUAACCAUAACACCAAUGCAAACACAGCAAGCACACACUAAUAAUCCCAGUACUGAUCUGAGUUCAGGGGCAGCAUGUUCUACAGUCAAGGCUACCCAGAGAAACCCUGGAGUGGGAGCUUUGUGAGGAGUCAAAGCAACCACGAAGCAAGUGAAAAUGCAUGGCCAGGUUGGAGAACUCAUACACAACACAUCCUCAUCAUUUAGUUGUCAAAAGUUCAACUUUGAAGGACAUCAGUUUUUACGUUAUUAAGCAUUUAUUUGCAUACAUGUGUUUGUAUGGGCAAACACUCCUUAACAUGGAGUUCAAACGACUAGUUUUGGAGUUAACUGUCUCCUUCCACUAUUUCUUUUCCCUCUGAACCACCUCAAUGGUCUUAUGUUUUUUACAAGGAACUGCCAGAGCAUUCUGCCACCAGCCAUACCUGCAGAAGGCCAUAAACCAAUCAUUCAGGAUAGCCCAUGCCUUACUAGAUAGUGCCAUGCCUUUCUCCUCCCUUGCACACGUGAAUACAACAUGUAAAAAGCAGUAUCUUUCCCAUUGAUUGUUCAAUAUUAACUAAGUUACCAUGACACAUUAUAUUAUAUAUAUAUUUUUAAAUGAAUGUAUUACUGUGAUACCCACAAAAUAGUUCAUGCUUACUGAGUAGGUAUGCUACAUGAGAUUCUUGUAAACCCACACAACAUUGCAUUUGGUGACUUGAGGGAAUGUGGAAACAGGUACUGUUCUGAAAACUUAAUAAAGAAAGGUAUAAAGGUG